rnacentral:rRNA from 1 species
AGAGUUUGAUCCUGGCUCAGGAUGAACGCUAGCGGGAGGCUUAACACAUGCAAGUCGAGGGGUAACAGGGGUAGCAAUACCUGCUGACGACCGGCGUACGGGUGAGUAACGCGUAUGCAACCUGCCCUAUACAGGAGGAUAGCCCGGAGAAAUUCGGAUUAAUACUCCAUGUAGCAUUUUUUUCGCAUGAAUUAGAUGUUAAAGAUUUAUCGGUAUAGGAUGGGCAUGCGUCCCAUUAGCUAGUUGGUGAGGUAACGGCUCACCAAGGCAUCGAUGGGUAUGGGGUCUUAAAGGAUGGUCCCACACACUGGCACUGAGACACGGGCCAGACUCCUACGGGAGGCAGCAGUGAGGAAUAUUGGUCAAUGGGUGAGAGCCUGAACCAGCCAUCCCGCGUGCAGGAUGACGGUCCUAGUGAUUGUAAACUGCUUUUCUAUGAGAUGAAUAAGAAUUACGUGUAGUUCGAUGACCGUAUUAUAGGAAUAAGCAUCGGCUAACUCCGUGCCAGCAGCCGCGGUAAUACGGAGGAUGCAAGCGUUAUCCGGAUUUAUUAGGUUUAAAGGGUGCGUAGGUGGGCGUUUAAGUCAGUGGUUAAAGCCAUUAGCUUAACUAAUGUAUGCCAUUGAUACUGGAUGUCUUGAAUGUGGUAGAGGUAGGCGGAAUGUGUUGUGUAGCGGUGAAAUGCUUAGAUAUAACACAGAACACCGAUUGCGAAGGCAGCUUACUAUUCCAUUAUUGACGCUGAUGCACGAAAGCGUGGGGAUCAAACAGGAUUAGAUACCCUGGUAGUCCACGCUGUAAACUAUGAUCACUCGUUU